rnacentral:lncRNA from 1 species
UUUUAAGUGAAUGUGAUUUCAAAAAUGUAAGUUGUUUGUACAAACUUGUCUUUGAAAAUAGUUUUUAUCUGCAGGAGUGAUCAAAUGGGCUUAGAAAUUCUACCAUCUGCCAAUAAUUUUUAUAACCUAACUCAAUCAGUUGUAAAGAAUAUUAAGAAGACAAAAGAAAAAAACAAAACAGAAUACAUCAAAAGAGAGAACAUGGUUCGUUCUUCAAUUACUAACAGAGGUAUAAAAAAAAAGACAUAAGGAAAACCACUACAAAAU